AAAGGCAGCCUCCCAAACCCCUGAGGGAGCUGAGCAGAAGUUCUCAACCUUUGGGCUUAGAAUGUAAGUUCCAUUCACCUACUCCGUUUCCUCUGCCACCUUACCUCGGCCCCAGCUGCCCCCGACACCUUUAAAACCAGUAACACCUGGAGCUCUAGACUUGCAAAUACCCAAAGGGUUACCCGCUUUCACACAGAUCAUUUGAAAGAACUGUCUCCUUUACAUGUUCCCAUCUUCCAUCAGCUCCUGAGAGCUAAGCAAACCCCCCAACAUCUGUGGCCCUUUCCUGUUUGCAGGCCACACUAGUGAGUGGUUGAUAGAAGGAAGCCCCUGGCCUGUCCAGGAGCUGAAAAGCAGUCCCUGGACAUGCAUGUGUCUCCUGCAGACCCAAAGUGCUCAGCACAGAAAGGGCACAGAAUGUGGUGACUCUGCAGCCUCCAAGGGGAAGCAGGGGCCAGAGAACAUGCAGAGCUGUCAUUAAUCAGAAGGAACAGAUGACUUGGAGGGGGAGGCUGGGACAAUGCAGCUUUAAGCAACCUGCCUACAGUCCGACUCAAGUGAAGCUGGCUGAUCUCUUUAGAGGCCUUUUGUUUAGUCCAGUUACUCAUAUCCUAGACUCAACUGGAAACGGUGACACACGGGCUGUCACCAUCUGGAUUCAGCUAUUAUCUGCUCAGAGGAACUGGAAGGGGUUGCACAAUGGCCAGACUCACCCCACCUCUAAGAGGCCUGGCUGCUCUGGCACCAGCUAGAAAAAUCCCCUGCUGCCCCCUCCUCCCACCCACCCCAUCCCACCACACACAUAUGCUUGUCCCAGAACAGCUCUGAGCCCCAGCCACGGAGAAGAAAAGGGUUUUAUCUCCCCCUAUUAAACCGGGCUUGAUCAUGCGUUUGAAAUUUCAUUCGGGUUGGGCAGUAGGUGGCAGCAGCGAGCCCCGGGACGGGGUCGGGGUGUUGGGAGUGUCAGGUGAGUUGCGGAAAACCCAGAAGCGACUUAACUGGGGGCUGAUCCUAUCUUUCGGGUGAAAAGGAGCAGCCCGAGGGUGCUCUGGGGUGCCUCAAGCAGGGGUGUCAUGCUCGCAUAAAGUAGACUGUGGGAAUGUUCUGCGUCUACCCGCGCAGGAGGAGGACCCGGCGGAUCCUGUUUCUAGGAGCUGUGUCUCCUCCUCCUGGAUGGGAUCCCUACGUUCAAAGGAAAAUCGCUGGCUGGAAAAUAAAGUGAAUCGAAGCGA